rnacentral:rRNA from 1 species
GACGAACGCUGGCGGCGUGCUUAACACAUGCAAGUCGAACGAAGAGCGAUGGAAGCUUGCUUCUAUCAAUCUUAGUGGCGAACGGGUGAGUAACGCGUAAUCAACCUGCCCUUCAGAGGGGGACAACAGUUGGAAACGACUGCUAAUACCGCAUACGAUCUAAUCUCGGCAUCGAGGAUAGAUGAAAGGUGGCCUCUACAUGUAAGCUAUCACUGAAGGAGGGGAUUGCGUCUGAUUAGCUAGUUGGAGGGGUAACGGCCCACCAAGGCGAUGAUCAGUAGCCGGUCGGAGAGGAGGAACGGCCACAUUGGGACUGAGACACGGCCCAGACUCCUACGGGAGGCAGCAGUGGCGAAUCUUCCGCAAUGGACGAAAGUCUGACGGAGCAACGCCGCGUGAGUGAUGACGGCCUUCGGGUUGUAAAGCUCUGUUAAUCGGGACGAAAGGCCUUCUUGCGAACAGUUAGAAGGAUUGACGGUACCGGAAUAGAAAGCCACGGCUAACUACGUG